UAAGGGGCGCGUAGCGUGACCUGCGGAGGGAUCAUUACACAAAUAUGAAGGCGGGCUGGAACCUCUCGGGGUUACAGCCUUGCUGAAUUAUUCACCCUUGUCUUUUGCGUACUUCUUGUUUCCUUGGUGGGUUCGCCCACCACUAGGACAAACAUAAACCUUUUGUAAUUGCAAUCAGCGUCAGUAACAAAUUAAUAAUUACAACUUUCAACAACGGAUCUCUUGGUUCUGGCAUCGAUGAAGAACGCAGCGAAAUGCGAUAAGUAGUGUGAAUUGCAGAAUUCAGUGAAUCAUCGAAUCUUUGAACGCACAUUGCGCCCUUUGGUAUUCCAAAGGGCAUGCCUGUUCGAGCGUCAUUUGUACCCUCAAGCUUUGCUUGGUGUUGGGCGUCUUGUCUCUAGCUUUGCUGGAGACUCGCCUUAAAGUAAUUGGCAGCCGGCCUACUGGUUUCGGAGCGCAGCACAAGUCGCACUCUCUAUCAGCAAAGGUCUAGCAUCCAUUAAGCCUUUUUUUCAACUUUUGACCUCGGAUCAGGUAGGGAUACCCGCUGAACUUA
rnacentral:rRNA from 1 species